CAGGCCUAACACAUGCAAGUCGAACGAUGCUUGCGGGCAUAGUGGCGCACGGGUGCAUAACGCGUGGGAAUCUGCCCCUUGGUACGGAAUAACAGCUAGAAAUGGGUGGUAAUACCGGAUGACGACGUAGGUCCAAAGAUUGAUCGCCGACGGAUGAGCGCGCGUAUGAUAAGCUGGUUGGUGUGGUGAAGGCGCACCAAGGGGACAAUCCUUAUCUGGUCUGAGAGGAUGAUCAGCCACACUGGGACUGAGACACGGGCCACACACCUACGGGAGGCGCCAGUGGGGAAUAUUGGACAAUGGGCGCGAGCCUGAUCCAGCAAUGCCGCGUGAGUGAGUAAAGCCUUACGGUUGUAAAACUCUUUUACCCGGGAUGAUAAUGACAGUACCGGGAGAAUAAGCUCCGGCUAACUCCGUGCCAGCAGCCGCGGUAAU
rnacentral:rRNA from 1 species